rnacentral:rRNA from 1 species
CCUACGGGAGGCAGCAGUGGGGAAUAUUGCACAAUGGGGGAGACCCUGAUGCAGCGACGCCGCGUGAGGGAAGAAGUAAUUGGUUAUGUAAAGCUCUAUCAGCAGGGAAGAAAAUGACGGUACCUGAGUAAGAAGCACCGGCUAACUACGUGCCAGCAGCCGCGGUAAUACGUAGGGGGCAGGCGUUAUCCGGAUUUACUGGGUGUAAAGGGGGCGUAGACGGGAGUGCAAGUCUGGAGUGAAAGGCGGGGGCUCAAACCCCGGACUGCGCUGGAAACUGUACGGCUGGAGUGCAGGAGAGGUAAGCGGAAUUCCUAGUGUAGCGGUGAAAUGCGUAGAUAGUAGGAGGAACACCAGUGGCGAAGGCGGCUUACUGG